rnacentral:lncRNA from 1 species
AUGAGGUCACAGAGCCCCACUCUGCUCUUCAGUGCAACUCUGGGCAACACUGCAGCAGCAGCAGCAGUGACAGUGGAGGCAGAAUGUUGCAUCCUGGCCCUGCAAGCUCAGAACACCCAGAGUGCUCAAAUACCUGAGCAGGGAGCAGUUGAGGACAGAAAGGAUUCACCUCCAACUCCUGAAGUAGAUUCCAUGCUGAUUCCAAGCUGGUAUCUCAAACGGAGGGAUUACCAGAAGAUACUUGUGGUUCCAAGAGGGCUUCUAAGAGCAUUGGUAAAAUCUGCAUCUGAGACAGAUCAUGAGAUGGUGGAGAAGGAGACCUUUCCCUUGAGAGAAAAUAACACCAUGCCAAGCACAGAUGAAGAAAAAGAAGCAGUAACAGAUACCAGCACACUUGCUCAUCACGAGAGACAUUCAGGAAGUGAGUGCUUGGGAGAUGUUUGCUUAGGGAAAUAG